rnacentral:rRNA from 1 species
AUACGUAGGUGGCAAGCGUUGUCCGGAAUUAUUGGGCGUAAAGCGCGCGCAGGUGGUUCCUUAAGUCUGAUGUGAAAGCCCCCGGCUCAACCGGGGAGGGUCAUUGGCAACUGGGGAACUUGAGUGCAGAAGAGGAUAGUGGAAUUCCAAGUGUAGCGGUGAAAUGCGUAGAGAUUUGGAGGAACACCAGUGGCGAAGGCGACUGUCUGGUCUGUAACUGACACUGAGGCGCGAAAGCGUGGGGAGCAAACAGGAUUAGAUACCCUGGUAGUCCACGCCGUAAACGAUGAGUGCUAAGUGUUGGGGGGUUUCCGCCCCUCAGUGCUGCAGCUAACGCAUUAAGCACUCCGCCUGGGGAGUACGGUCGCAAGACUGAAACUCAAAGGAAUUGACGGGG